GUAUAUAAUUGUUUCACAUUGGAAACAAUGGAUAUACUAUGUAUCAUUCACAGUGCUCAGAACUUUCAGCUCUGUGAAAUGUUGGUGCUAUUUUCAGUUUAUAAAGUGCAUGGGUUGCAGAAAAGUGAAGUAUCUUACUUAGGAGCCUAAGAAAUGGCUACCACAUCCAAGGAAAGCAGCAGGCAUGCAAAUUACCCACUCCCGACCCAGGGAGGUAGUGACGAAAAAUAACAAUACAGGAUUCUUUCGAGGCCCUGUAAUUGGAAUGAGACCACUUUAAAUCCUUUCACGAGGAUCCAUUGAAGGGCAAGUCUGGUGCCAGCAGCCGCAAUAAUUCCAGCUCCAAUAGCAUAUAU
rnacentral:ncRNA from 1 species